rnacentral:rRNA from 1 species
UACGUAGGGUGCAAGCGUUAAUCGGAAUUACUGGGCGUAAAGCGUGCGCAGGCGGUUUUGUAAGUCUGUCGUGAAAUCCCCGGGCUCAACCUGGGAAUUGCGAUGGAGACUGCAAGGCUAGAAUCUGGCAGAGGGGGGUAGAAUUCCACGUGUGAGCAGUGAAAUGCGUAGAGAUGUGGAGGAACACCGAUGGCGAAGGCAGCCCCCUGGGUCAAGGAUUGACGCUCAUGCACGAAAGCGUGGGGAGCAAACAGG